CAGGUGCUCACAUCGAGCUUGAAAAGGGAACCCCGUGCGAAUCGGGGGCGGACCCGCCGCUGUGAUCGGGGACGAACGCUGCAAGAGCCACUGAUCGGGACCAUCUGAUCGGGAAGGCGCGGCUAGUAGGACGAUCCGAGAGCCAGAAGACCUGCCCGGGUG
rnacentral:ncRNA from 1 species